AGAGUUUGAUCCUGGCUCAGAUUGAACGCUGGCGGCGCGCCUAAUACAUGCAAGUCGAGCGAGAAGGCGUAGCAAUACGCUUGUAAAGCGGCGAACGGGUGAGGAAUACAUGGGUAACCUACCCUUGAGUGGGGAAUAACCAGCCGAAAGGUUGGCUAAUACCGCAUACGAUUCCCGGACUGCGGUUCGGGAAAGAAAGCGUUACCGUGGGUAGCGCGCUCUUGGAUGGGCUCAUGUCCUAUCAGCUUGUUGGUGAGGUAAUGGCUCACCAAGGCUUCGACGGGUAGCUGGUCUGAGAGGACGAUCAGCCACACUGGCACUGCGACACGGGCCAGACUCCUACGGGAGGCAGCAGUAAGGAAUAUUGCGCAAUGGGCGACAGCCUGACGCAGCGACGCCGCGUGGGGGAUGAAGGUCUUCGGAUUGUAAACCCCUUUCGGCAGGGAAGAUGGAACGGGUAACCGUUCGGACGGUACCUCCAGAAGCAGCCACGGCUAACUUCGUGCCAGCAGCCGCGGUAAUACGAAGGUGGCAAGCGUUGUUCGGAUUCACUGGGCGUACAGGGAGCGUAGGCGGUUGGGUAAGCCCUCCGUGAAAUCUCCGGGCCUAACCCGGAAAGUGCAGAGGGGACUGCUCGGCUUGAGGAUGGGAGAGGAGAGUGGAAUUCCCGGUGUAGCGGUGAAAUGCGUAGAGAUCGGGAGGAAGGCCGGUGGCGAAGGCGGCGCUCUGGAACAUUUCUGACGCUGAGGCUCGAAAGCGUGGGGAGCAAACAGGAUUAGAUACCCUGGUAG
rnacentral:rRNA from 1 species